AUAUUUCUCUAUGAGCUUUUAUAUGGUAGAUCACCAUUUAAAGGUUCUUGUAAUGAAGAAACGCUAGACAAUGUGAUUUCGCAGAGCCUGAAGUUCCCUGACAGCCCACUUGUUAGUUUUCAGGCGAGGGAUCUCAUCUGGGGUCUGUUGGCAAAGGAUCCUGAGAAUCGUUUGGGAUCUGAGAAAGGAGCUGCUGAGAUCAAGCAACACCCUUUCUUCGAGGGCUUAAAUUGGGCACUAAUAAGAUGUGCCAUUCCACCUGAACUACCUG
rnacentral:misc_RNA from 1 species